CAAUAGCGUAUAUUAAAGUUGUUGCGGUUAAAAAGCUCGUAGUUGGAUUUCUGCUGAGAACGACCGGUCCGCCCUUUGGGUGUGUAUCUGGCUCUUUCUUGGCAUCUUCUUGGUGAACGUUGCUGCACUUGACUGUGUGGAGCGCUACCCAGGACUUUUACUUUGAGGAAAUUAGAGUGUUUCAAGCAGGCAAACGCCUUGAAUACAUUAGCAUGGAAUAAUAAGAUAGGACCUCGGUUCUAUUUUGUUGGUUUCUAGAGCUGAGGUAAUGGUUAAUAGGGAUAGUUGGGGGCAUUCGUAUUUAACUGUCAGAGGUGAAAUUCUUGGAUUUGUUAAAGACGAGCAACUGCGAAAGCAUUUGCCAUGGAUGCGCUCUUUG
rnacentral:rRNA from 1 species